rnacentral:snRNA from 1 species
AUUGCUUCUCGGUCUUUUGGCUAAGGUCAAGGGUGGUAUCUGUUCUCAUCACCUUCAUGCCUGAUAAUCUCAUCUACAAAAUGUGAACACUGACUGUCUAUAAGUGGUCAUAUUCUACAUACAUAGAAUAAAAUUACAUUUAAA